rnacentral:rRNA from 1 species
AUUGAACGCUGGCGGCAGGCCUAACACAUGCAAGUCGAGCGAGCGGCGGACGGGUGAGAAAUGUAUGGGGACUCCCCGAUAGAGGGGGGUAACAACUGGAAACGGUAGCUAAUACCGCAUACUAUCGGAGAACCCACAUGGGAGUAGCUAGUUGGUGAGGUAAUGGCUCACCAAGGCGACGAUCCCUAGCUGGUCUGAGAGGAUGAUCAGCCACACUGGGACUGAGACACGGCCCAGACUCCUACGGAGGCAGCAGUGGGGAAUAUUGCACAAUGGGCGCAAGCCUGAUGCAGCCAUGCCGCGUGUAUGAAGAAGGCCCUAGGGUUGUAAAGUACUUUCAGUCGGGAGGCGUUACCGACAGAAGAAGCACCGGCUAACUCCGUGCCAGCAGCCGCGGUAAUAC